GGUUGAUCCUGCCAGUUGUCAUAUGCUUGUUUCAAGGAUUAAGCCAUGCAAAUGUAAGAGUACCUGUAUCUUGAUACUAGGGGGUCUGUGUACGGCUCAUUAAACGGUUUAUAGUCUACCCAACGAAGAAGAGAUUCGUCUCUUUCGAAGGGAUACCUGUGCCAAAUGCACAGCUAAUACCUGUAUGACCAAUCCGCGACCGUCCAAACGCUGGAUGUUCCCACUGACAGCGUGGUCACGGAUGCUCUUGGCCGAAACAAAGACCAACGCCUUUCACGAGGCAGAUGUAGUU
rnacentral:rRNA from 1 species